rnacentral:misc_RNA from 1 species
AGAAAGUUUGCUAGGGAGUUGAUACAAACUCAGCUAUACAUUGUUGAACAAUGCUUAUCGCAGCAUAUGACAUUUCAAAUAACGACGUACACAAUAUCAGGACAACCUGUACUAGUAUUACAUUUGAGCAUUUCAGAAUAACCAGCGUUCUUUCGCUCAUCAAUUCCAUUUACAUCCUUUUCCAUCUCUGCAGAGCAUGGCAAAAGUGAUUUCAUACUAAAUAUUUCAAUACCUAGCUUAUGGCAGUUAGUGCCUUCAUCUAAACCUCGUCUUACAGGCUUUUAUUAAACCAAGAAACAAGAGCGUUGAACUCACCCAAGAAGUAAAAACAACUGCAUCCAUUAACAAAGGUAUCAACUCUUGAUAGUAAGUUCAGCCCUGAGAUGGAGCAUACCAUUAGUAAAAUAUGGACUGUCCUCAGCGAUGAAAGAAGUCCAUGGUAUGGCAAAUAGAUUGCGGUAUCCAACUGCCUUGCCCCCUGUAAAAGUGUAGUUACCUUUGUACUUGCUGACAUACUCCUCCCCUGGUUUUGUUCUUGCUGCAAAUUCAUAAUCAACAGCAAAAGUAACCGAACCUUUUUCCUGCAUCCCCAGAAAGAGACCAAAACAGUGGAAAGAGCUUUGCUGAUCCAUG